AAACGGUUCAAGAAUCUGCGAGACAUCUUUAAAAGAAAACAGCAGGAGGUACGUGACAAACAGCGAAGCGGAGCCGGAGCAGCCGACAUUCCUACCAUAAAAUGGCCCCAUUUUGAAGCCAUGCUCGAACUCACUGAAGUUGAGUCUGAGCCUGUGGUGGUACUGUGCAACAUGAGUGAGACUGACCAAAGCAGACACAUCACUGCAGAUGAAGGUAACGAGAGUUCAACGCCAGGGCCAAGUCAUGCAGUGGAUCCCGAAACCUCCGAGGACACGACUGAGGAGACCGUUGUGGACCCCUGCAGCAAAUGAGUAAAGAAAUCUGUG